UACGUAGGGUCCGAGCGUUGUCCGGAAUUACUGGGCGUAAAGAGCUCGUAGGUGGUUUGUCGCGUUGUUCGUGAAAACUCACAGCUCAACUGUGGGCGUGCGGGCGAUACGGGCAGACUUGAGUACUGCAGGGGAGACUGGAAUUCCUGGUGUAGCGGUGGAAUGCGCAGAUAUCAGGAGGAACACCGGUGGCGAAGGCGGCGUUCUGGACUGCAACUGACACUGAGGAACGAAAGCCAGGGGAGCAAACGGG
rnacentral:rRNA from 1 species